AUAGACAAGAUCCUUAUAAUUCACCAAAUCCCAUUGAAUCUUGAAAGCUAAGCGGGCUGGAACCUGGUUCGCACUUGGAUGGGAGACGGCCAGGGCUUGCCAGGUGUUGUAUGUG
rnacentral:rRNA from 1 species